UAAUUCUUUUUAACCCCAUGGCCUCACACAUAGUAGGUUCUGAAGUAUUCCCUGAAGUAAUACUCUGAAUUAACCUGCUCACGUAUGAAAAUAAUAACAAAACCACUAGUGAAAAGGCCAGACAUUGUUAGACAUUAACGAUGUGCCAGGCACUGGAUUUAAUAUGGAUAAUCUUGCUCCUCAGAACAGCACUAUGAGGUAUAUGUUAUGAGAAUGUUUUAUUUUCCAGGUGAGGAAACUGAGGCAUUGGGUAAUUUGCUGAAGAUCAGAGAUUGAGGAAGUAGCAAGCCAGGCACUUAAGUACAUUUUCUCUGCUCUUAUAACUAAUAUGAAGUAACAGUUUUAAAUGUAUUCUUGUAGGUUUCCGUGAUGAUAUAAUCCUUGGCAAUUCACCAAGAAAUCUCUUCUACUUCUCUUUCAUCUUUUGUGGGAGAGAUACGCAUCCCAAAAUAUUAGGCACAUUUAAAACUUGCAGGCUGUUCUAAGUGUUUACUGUUUCCACUCUAUGAGAUGUAUCCUCUUACUGGAAGUUAAUUGCAGUAAAGCAUGUGAACAACUCCGAGGAUGCUAAAAUAUAAAACUUGAAGAAGCAUUGGAAAAUAAGUGAGAUGCUAAAUCAAAAAGAUAAAGUAAGGCUAAGAGACCAAUCACCUAACCUAAAGCCUCAAGCUCUUUAUCAGCAAAAAUGUUUUGUGGAAGAGCAAGGAAGCCACAGACAUUCCUCAACCCUCAAGCUAAGCAGUCGCCUUCAUUGGAAGGACCAGGCCUGUCAGAACCGGAACAAUGAGACUGAUAACCAAACACUAGAAUGGACAAAGAACAUCUCAGAACCCUGUGGGGACCAGUGAUGCUAGGACCUGACAUCUCCCGCUUCCUAUCUUGGCACUUUAGAAAUUCCCGGACCUGAUUAACACAGGCCUGGGGAAGAGGGAGGGCCUCUGUUGAUAAGAUUAUUGUCACUGAGGCUGAGUGGGGGCUUGAAAAAGAAAUAAAGCUCAGUUAUGGAAAAAAAUUCUAUUUGUUACACAUUCGAGUUUGUAGACUGAAGUUCAUUCCUGCUACUCUGUUAUCUGUGAGUAUUCUAUAGUAACCAACAGUGUUUAUGUUUAGUAUUUAUAAGAAUUUUCUCUUUACUCAAAGAUCAUGAGGUUUUAUUUUUUAACAUUUUAUUUGGUGCAGAUACUUGAGAAAAACAAACUGAAGGAUACCAAUAAACACUUCCAUGCCUGGCAUCAUUGCCUCACUAGGUUAUGAGUUCCUGUAGGACAGGGUCCACACAUUUACUUUGAAUCUCCCAUCUGGUUAGUAGCACACAGGAUGCUUGUAUUUAGUAGGUACUCGGUAAAUGUUCAA